rnacentral:rRNA from 1 species
UACAGAGGGUGCGAGCGUUAAUCGGAAUUACUGGGCGUAAAGCGCACGUAGGCGGAUUUGUAAGUCAGGGGUGAAAUCCCGGGGCUCAACCUCGGAACUGCCUUUGAUACUGCAAAUCUCGAGUCCGGAAGAGGUGAGUGGAAUUCCUAGUGUAGAGGUGAAAUUCGUAGAUAUUCGCAAGAACACCAGUGGCGAAGGCGGCUCACUGGCCCGAUACUGACGCUGAGGCACGAAAGCGUGGGGAGCAAACAGG